UACGUAGGGGGCGAGCGUUGUCCGGAUUUAUUGGGCGUAAAGAGCUCGUAGGCGGUUUGGUAAGUCGGGUGUGAAAUCUCCACGCUCAACGUGGAGGGGCCACUCGAUACUGCCACGACUCGAGUCCGGUAGAGGAGUGUGGAAUUCCCGGUGUAGCGGUGAAAUGCGUAGAUAUCGUAAGGAAGACCAGUGGCGAAGGCGGGUCUCUGGACAGUUCCUGACGCUGAGGCACGAAGGUCAGGGGAGCAAACGGG
rnacentral:rRNA from 1 species